AGCAGCCGCGGUAAUUCCAGCUCCAAUAGCGUAUAUUAAAGUUGUUGCAGUUAAAAAGCUCGUAGUUGAAUUUCGGAAUCGACGGAUUGGUCGCGCCUUCGGUGUGUACUGGUCUUGCCGGUUUCUCCCUUCUGACGAACCACGAUGUCAUUAAUUUGGUGUCGUGGGGAAUCAGGACUGUUACUUUGAAAAAAUUAGAGUGUUUAAAGCAGGCAUUAGCUUGAAUACAUUAGCAUGGAAUAAUGAAAUAGGACGUUUGAUCUUAUUUUGUUGGUUUCUAGGAUCGACGUAAUGAUUAAUAGGGAUAGUUGGGGGCAUUAGUAUUCAAUUGUCAGAGGUGAAAUUCUUGGAUUUAUUGAAGACUAACUACUGCGAAAGCAUUUGCCAAGGAUGUUUUCAUUAAUCAAGAACGAAAGUUAGGGGAUCGAAGACGAUCAGAUACCGUCGUAGUCUUAACCAUAAACUAUGCCGACUAGGGAUCGGAUGAUGUUAAUUUUUUAAUGACUCA
rnacentral:rRNA from 1 species